ACCAAAGUCUUUAACAAACGUGCCUGUCUUGUGGCUACAGUGAUUCCCAGAGUCUUAAUUGCUCUCUACCUUGGUAACCUCUGCUGUCUGGUAAUAACCCACAGACUGAAAGUGAUUUCCAGUUUCUCAGUAUUGUUCUGAAAAGGUGCCAAUGUUCUGGACUGAAAACAGUGAAACAAAAGGUCAUAUCGGGGAUGUCCCAAAAAAUCAUUAUAUAGCAAGGAAGACAGGACCAGAAAUCGUGUGGUAUGCAUCGGGUAGAAGCACAGGCUUGAGGAGCAGUGGAGGGAGGUGAACUACAUGAUCACAUUGGAUUAGUUUCAGCUACAGCCAGUGAAAAGCAUUAAUACAAAUGUUA